rnacentral:rRNA from 1 species
GGGCCCGCACAAGCAGCGGAGCAUGUGGUUUAAUUCGAAGCAACGCGAAGAACCUUACCUAGACUUGACAUCUCCUGAAUUACCCUUAAUCGGGGAAGUCCUUCGGGACAGGAAGACAGGUGGUGCAUGGUUGUCGUCAGCUCGUGUCGUGAGAUGUUGGGUUAAGUCCCGCAACGAGCGCAACCCUUAUUGUUAGUUGCUACCAUUAAGUUGAGCACUCUAGCAAGACUGCCCGGGUUAACCGGGAGGAAGGUGGGGAUGACGUCAAAUCAUCAUGCCCCUUAUGUCUAGGGCUACACACGUGCUACAAUGGCCGGUACAGAGAGAUGCUAAACCGUGAGGCAGCGCAAAACUUGAAAACCGGUCUCAGUUCGGAUUGUAGGCUGAAACUCGCCUAUAUGAAGCUGGAGUUGCUAGUAAUCGCGAAUCAGAAUGUCGCGGUGAAUACGUUCCCGGGCCUU